rnacentral:rRNA from 1 species
UACGUAGGGUGCGAGCGUUGUCCGGAAUUAUUGGGCGUAAAGAGCUCGUAGGCGGUCUGUCGCGUCGAUCGUGAAAACUUGGGGCUUAACUCUGAGCUUGCGGUCGAUACGGGCAUGACUGGAGUUCGGCAGGGGAGACUGGAAUUCCUGGUGUAGCGGUGAAAUGCGCAGAUAUCAGGAGGAACACCGAUGGCGAAGGCAGGUCUCUGGGCCACUACUGACGCUGAGAAGCGAAAGCAUGGGGAGCGAACAGG